AACGAACGCUGGCGGCGUGCCUAACACAUGCAAGUCGAACGGAUUUGAGGGGCUUGCUCCUCAAGUUAGUGGCGCACGGGUGAGUAACGCGUAGAUAAUCUGCCUGAUGAUCUGGGAUAACACUUCGAAAGGGGUGCUAAUACCGGAUAAGCCCACGAUGGCUUUGGUCGUUGCGGGAAAAGGGGGGGACCUUCGGGCCUUCUGUCAUCAGAUGAGUCUGCGUACCAUUAGCUAGUUGGUGGUGUAAUGGACCACCAAGGCUACGAUGGUUAGCUGGUCUGAGAGGAUGAUCAGCCACACUGGAACUGAGACACGGUCCAGACUCCUACGGGAGGCAGCAGUGGGGAAUUUUGCGCAAUGGGCGAAAGCCUGACGCAGCAACGCCGCGUGAGUGAUGAAGGCUUUCGGGUCGUAAAGCUCUGUCAAGGGGAAAGAAGUGUAUUAUGGUUAAUACCCAUGAUACUUGACGGUACCCCUAAAGGAAGCACCGGCUAACUCCGUGCCAGCAGCCGCGGUAAUACGGAGGGUGCGAGCGUUGUUCGGAAUUAUUGGGCGUAAAGCGCGUGUAGGCGGUUUGUUAAGUCUGAUGUGAAAGCCCCGGGCUCAACCUGGGAAGUGCAUUGGAUACUGGCAGACUUGAAUACGGGAGAGGGCAGUGGAAUUCCUGGUGUAGGAGUGAAAUCCGUAGAUAUCAGGAGGAACACCGGUGGCGAAGGCGGCUGCCUGGACCGAUAUUGACGCUGAGACGCGAAAGCGUGGGUAGCAAACAGGAUUAGAUACCCUGGUAGUCCACGCCGUAAACGAUGAGUACUAGGUGUUGCGGGUAUUGACCCCUGCAGUGCCGCAGCUAACGCAUUAAGUACUCCGCCUGGGAAGUACGGUCGCAAGACUA
rnacentral:rRNA from 1 species